UCGUGAGACAGUUCGGUCUCUAUCCGCCGCGCGCGUUGAAACUUGAAGAAGGCUGUCCCUAGUACGAGAGGACCGGGACGGACGUACCUCUAGUGUGCCAGUUGUUCCGCCAGGAGCACGGCUGGUUGGCUACGUACGGGAGGGAUAACCGCUGAAAGCAUCUAAGUGGGAAGCCCACCUCAAGAUGAGUAUUCUCAUCAUGAAAAUGAGUAAGGUCACGGUAAGACUAACCGUUCGAUAGG
rnacentral:rRNA from 1 species